rnacentral:snRNA from 1 species
GUGCUUGCUUCAACAACACAUAUACUAAAAUUGGAAAGAUAUAGACUAUCCUGGCCCCUGUACAUUAAACACAUGCAGAUUCAUGAAGCAUUCCAUAUUGUG